rnacentral:rRNA from 1 species
UACGAGAGGCCCAAACGUUAUUCGGAUUUACUAGGCUUAAAGAGUUCGUAGGCGGUCCAUCAAGUGGGGUGUGAAAUCCCUCGGCUCAACCGAGGAAUUGCGCUCCAAACUGUUGGGCUCGAGGGAGAUAGAGGUGAGCGGAACUGAUGGUGGAGCGGUGAAAUGCGUUGAUAUCAUCAGGAACACCAGAGGCGAAGGCGGCUCACUGGGUCUCUUCUGACGCUGAGGAACGAAAGCUAGGGGAGCAAACGGG